GCCUACGGCCAUAUCACCCUGAGAACACUCAAACCCGUCUGAUCUUGGAAGCUAAGCAGGGUCGGGCCUGGUUAGUACUUAGAUGGGAAACCGCCUUGGAAUACCGGGUGCUAUAGGCU